CUCAGGGUAAGUCGACCCCUAAGGCGAGGCCGAAAGGCGUAGCUGAUGGGAAGCGGGUUAAUAUUCCCGUACCACUUGAAUCGCGUUAUUAGCGAUGGGGUAACGUAGAAGGGUAAUUUAUCCGGGUGUUGGACGUCCCGGUUCAAGCAUGUAGGAGGGUGAUUUUGGCAAAUCCGGAUCACCAUUAACUCUGAGGUGUGAUGAGGAGCUUCUCCUUCGGGACAAGCGAACUAAAUGAUCCCAUGCUACCGAGAAAAACCUCUAGUGAGCUAUUCAGGUGAUCGUACCCUAAACCGACACGGGUAGAUGAGUAGAGAAUACUAAGGCGCUUGAGAGAACUCUGGUUAAGGAACUCGGCAAAUUAGCUCCGUAACUUCGGGAUAAGGAGUGCCCUCAUAAGGUGAAAGAACUUGCUUCUGGAGCUGAAGGGGGUUGCAGUGACCAGGUAGCCGCGACUGUUUACUAAAAACACAGGACUCUGCUAAGUCGUAAGACGACGUAUAGGGUCUGACGCCUGCCCGGUGCCGGAAGGUUAAAAGGAGGGGUUAACCCUUGGGUGAAGCUCCGAAUUGAAGCCCCGGUAAACGGCGGCCGUAACUAUAACGGUCCUAAGGUAGCGAAAUUCCUUGUCGGGUAAGUUCCGACCUGCACGAAUGGUCAGUGAAAUUGACAUACCGGUGAAGAUGCCGGUUUCCCGCAGAAGGACGGAAAGACCCCGUGCACCUUUACUACAGCUUGAUAUUGGAUAUUGGUUUAGUAUGUGUAGGAUAGGUGGGAGACUUUGAAACUUUGGCGCUAGCCAGAGUGGAGUCAAUCUUGAAAUACCACCCUUAUUACACUGAUAUUCUAACCUCGGUUCCGUGAAUCCGGGCCAGGGACAAUGUCAGGUGGGUAGUUUGACUGGGGCGGUCGCCUCCUAAAAUGUAACGGAGGCGCGCGAAGGUUCCCUCAGGCUGAUUGGAAACCAGCCGACGAGUGUAAAGGCAUAAGGGAGCUUGACUGCAAGACUUACAAGUCGAGCAGGUGCGAAAGCAGGUCUUAGUGAUCCGGUGGUUCCAUGUGGAAGGGCCAUCGCUCAACGGAUAAAAGGUACGCCGGGGAUAACAGGCUUAUCGCCUCCAAGAGUCCAUAUCGACGAGGCGGUUUGGCACCUCGAUGUCGGCUCACCGCAUCCUGGGGCUGAAGCAGGUCCCAAGGGUUGGUCUGUUCGCCCAUUAAAGCGGUACGCGUAUCCUCUGUGGGUGUUGGAUAUUUGAGGAGAUCUGUUCCUAGUACGAGAGGACCGGAAUGGACGAACCUCUGGUUUUCCGGUUGUGAUGCCAAUUGCAUCGCCGGGUAGCUAUGUUCGGAAAGGAUAACCGCUGAAAGCAUCUAAGCGGGAAGCCAACUCCAAAACUAGAUAUCCCCUCCUCCUUCGGGAGGACCGUAGACCCCUUGUAGACUACAAGGUUGAUAGGCCAGAUGUGUAAGCACAGCAAUGUGUUCAGCUAACUGGUACUAAUUGGUCGCGAGGCUUGAUCUU
rnacentral:rRNA from 1 species